rnacentral:rRNA from 1 species
CAGCAGCCGCGGGAAUACGAAGGGUGCAAGCGUUAAUCGGAAUUACUGGGCGUAAAGCGUGCGUAGGCGGUUUGUUAAGUCUGUUGUGAAAUCCCCGGGCUCAACCUGGGAAUGGCAAUGGAUACUGGCAAGCUAGAGUGUGUCAGAGGAUGGUGGAAUUCCCGGUGUAGCGGUGAAAUGCGUAGAGAUCGGGAGGAACAUCAGUGGCGAAGGCGGCCAUCUGGGACAACACUGACGCUGAGGCACGAAAGCGUGGGGAGCAAACAGGAUUAGAUACCCGAGUAGUCCCUGUCUCUUAUAA